GACGAACGCUGGCGGCGUGCUUAACACAUGCAAGUCGAGCGGUAAGGCCCUUUUGGGGGUACACGAGCGGCGAACGGGUGAGUAACACGUGGGUGACCUGCCUUCAGCUUCGGGAUAAGCUUGGGAAACUGGGUCUAAUACCGGAUAUGACUUGGCCUCGCAUGGGGUUGGGUGGAAAGUUUUUUCGGCUGGAGAUGGGCCCGCGGCCUAUCAGCUUGUUGGUGGGGUGAUGGCCUACCAAGGCGACGACGGGUAGCCGGCCUGAGAGGGCGACCGGCCACACUGGGACUGAGAUACGGCCCAGACUCCUACGGGAGGCAGCAGUGGGGAAUCUUGCGCAAUGGGCGGAAGCCUGACGCAGCGACGCCGCGUGGGGGAU
rnacentral:rRNA from 1 species